UACGGGGGGGGCAAGCGUUGUUCGGAAUUACUGGCGUAAAGGGCUCGUAGGUGGCCAACUAAGUCAGACGUGAAAUCCCUCGGCUUAACCGGGGAACUGCGUCUGAUACUGGAUGGCUUGAGUUCGGGAGAGGGAUGCGGAAUUCCAGGUGUAGCGGUGGAAUGCGUAGAGAUCCGGAAGAACACCGGUGGCGAAGGCGGCCUGCUGGGCAGUGCUGACACUGAGGCGCGACAGCGUGGGGAGCAAACAGG
rnacentral:rRNA from 1 species